rnacentral:misc_RNA from 1 species
GAUGAAGAACGUAGCGAAAUGCGAUAAGUAAUGUGAAUUGCAGAAUUCAGUGAAUCAUCGAAUCUUUGAACGCAUCUUGCGCUCCUUGGUAUUCUGAGGAGCAUGCCUGUUUGAGUGUCAUUAAAUUCUCAACUACACUGACUUUGAAUUGGUGUGGCUUGGAUUUUGGGGGGAAAAUUGUUGUGGGCUUUUUGUAUAGUCUGCUCCCCUGAAAUUGAUUAGCGGUACCUUUGUGGAACUGUCUACAGGUGUGAUAAUUAUCUACAUCUUAGACAUCUGCUGGAAUGCUGCUUUCUAAACCUUACUUGUAUUGACAAUCUUGACCUCAAAUCAGGUAGGACUACCCGCUGAACUUAAGCAUAUCAAUAAGGGAGGA